GACGAACGCUGACGGCGUGCUUAACACAUGCAAGUCGAACGGAAAGGCCCCCUUGUGGGGUACUCGAGUGGCGAACGGGUGAGUAACACGUGAGUAACCUACCCUUGACUUUGGGAUAACUUCAGGAAACUGGGGCUAAUACCGGAUAGGAGCUCCUGCUGCAUGGUGGGGGUGGGGAAGUUUCGGCGGUUGGGGAUGGACUCGCGGCUUAUCAGCUUGUUGGUGGGGUAGUGGCUCACCAAGGCUUUGACGGGUAGCCGGCCUGAGAGGGUGACCGGCCACAUUGGGACUGAGAUACGGCCCAGACUCCUACGGGAGGCAGAAGUGGGGAAUAUUGCACAAUGGGCGGAAGCCUGAUGCAGCAACGCCGCGUGCGGGAUGACGGCCUUCGGGUUGUAAACCGCUUUCGCCUGUGACGAAGCGUGAGUGACGGUAAUGGGUAAAGAAGCACCGGCUAACUACGUG
rnacentral:rRNA from 1 species